AGUGGCCGUCACGGCCCGGGCACGCGCGCGCACGGACCCACACCCCGGCGGCUCUCACAAUCGCACACACACAUACACACACACACCAGCAAACAAAGGGUCUGGACACCCCCGUCCCCUCCCGCCCCCCAGGCCAGGGAGGGCGGGGCAUCCCCUCCCCAGGCCCCCCGCAAGGUAAGCUUGGGGCUGCGAGCUGCGGUGGGGAGGGGGACACGGUGCCACAGUGGGAGGGGGCCAGGAAGGUAGGGGGUUCCCCGGCUCCCCAGGAAAGUCGUACCCCCACCCCCACCGUAUGCCCUUUAGGGAUUCGGCCCCGUCAUCAGCCUGGGGGUGUUUGGAGAGAAUCCCAGAUGUCGGGGAUUCCCGGAUAGGCGCGGGGGUCUCUUCCUGGCUCUGGAGACUGGAGCUGCCCAGCUUCAGCAAAACAGGGUUCCCGGAGCCUCAGCUUCCAGAACUGGGGAUAGAGCGCCGGAAGCUUCCCCAUCAACCCCAAGCAUUUCCUAAUCUGCCAGCACAGCACCUCCAGCCCUGGGGACUGAGGAGAGAGACCCCUAAGUUGCUUUGCACUGUCCCUCUGUCCCCGGUCCCCAUCCCACCCCCAUCGGUGCAAACCCUGCUAUGUCUCUCCUGCCUGUGUGUGUGUGUGGGGGGGAGGUUUGCGGGAAUUGGGAACGCUUUUUGGGGCUACCUUUGCUUCUUCUGCUACAUCCCAUAGCCACAUACCACUGAGCUGCGGUGGGGCCCGGCAGGCGGCUUUGCCUUCCUGAGUCUCAAUUUCCUCCUCUGCAAAGUGGGUAAUGACACACACCUAGGAUUCCGCGAAAUCGUGCUCGCGGAGCCUGCUUUUGCGCCAUCAUUUUAUUUAUUAGCUCAUUUCACAUCUCUUUCCCAAGUGUCUACUUACGAUGUACUGGGCACUGUGACCAGGCUUUGGGGCAGCAGCAACCAACAAACCCAGUAGGGGUCCCUGCUCCUGGCUAGUGAGGGAGCAGGAUCCCUGUAUAAACAUACAAAUCCCCGCGGGUGAUUUCAGACUGUGAAGACUAAAAUUCUGUCCUCGGACAGAGAGAGACUAGGGAAAGGCACUCAAGAUUAAAGGAGAAGCUGGGCACAGUGGCUCACGCCUGUAAUCCUAGCACUUUGGGAGGCCGAGGCAGGCGGAUCACUUGAGGUCAGGAGUUCGAGACCAGCCUGGCCAACAUGGUGAAACCCCAUGUCUACUAAAAAUACAAAAAUUAGUCGGGCGUGGUGGCAGGCGCCUGUAAUCCCAGCUACCCGGGAGGCUGAGGCAGAAGAAUUGCUUAAACCCGGGAGGCGGUGGUUGCAGUGAGCCAAGAUCACACCACUGCACUCCAGUUUGGGUGACAGAGCAAGACUCUGUCAGAAAAAAAAACAAAAAACAAAAAACAGAUUAAGUAAGACUUCUGGAUCCUGCCUGCCUUCCUCCUUGGGUCUGAGCUCAUGAGGGCAGGAUCAGGUCUAGAACAGUGCCUGGCACACAGUAGGUGCUCAAUAAAUGUUGAAUGAGCGUGGCACCCUGGUGUGAGCCUGUAGUCCCAGCUACUCGGGAGGCUGGCUGGAGGAUCCCAGCGACACCCAUCUCUAAAAAAAAAUAAAAACAAAAAAUAAAUCCUUAGCUGGGCAUGGUGGCACACGCCUGUAGUCCCAGCUAUUCAGGAUGCUGAGGCAGGAGAAUGGCUUGAACCCGGGAGGCAGAGGUUGCAGUGAGCUGAGAUAGUGCCAUUGCACUCCAGCCUGGGUGACAAGAGCAAAACUCAAAAAAAAGAAAAUCUUAAAUGAAUUAAAGAGGGGAUUAGUUUAAGACUAGAUUCUAGAACUGUAGAUUAGGAAGAAGGCUUAGCAUAAACCAAUCCACCCCACUCCCUUGAAUUUGAUACAGGAGACAGUGAAUCCCAGAAUGUCAACAUUUCUACAAAAUUGAAGAUGGGCCCAGCACGAUGGCUCACAUCUGUAAUCCCGAUAAUUGGGAGGCUGAGGUGGGAGGAUCACUUGAGCCCAGGAGGUCGAGGCUGUAGUGAGCCAUGAUCACGUCACUGCACUUCAGCCUGGGAGACAGAGUGAGACUCUGCCUCACCAAAAAAAAAAAAAAAAAAAAAAAAGAAGGUGGUUAAAGCAAGGGUUGUGAACAGCUGUGGACAGAGACCAGAACUGAGCACUGUGUGCCCAGGAACUCAUGGUGUCCAGCCAGUGCCCACUCUUCCCCACAUAGCAUAUAGACACAGCACUGCUUUCAUCUAUUCAAUAUUUAUUCAGCACCUACUAUGUACCAGGUGCCAGGGACACAGCAAUUAACAGAACAAAACUCCCUGCCCCAGUGGAGCUGACAUUUAGUGGAGGAAACUGAAAUGAAAUAACAUGAUCAAAAAGAUAUAAUGACACAUUGUUAUUAGGAUACUGAUAGAAAUAGAGGGUGUGGCUGGGUGUUUAGAAAGACUUCCUGCAGAAGCUGAAUUCAGCACACACACACUCAAACCCAAACAUAAUCCCACUAAUACACAUCACAGAAAAGUGGCCAUGGGGACUGAGUGGCUGAGCAGAGAUUUAAACCUGGAACCUGCAUUUCUUUUUUCUUUCUCCUUUUUUUAACUAAUUAAUUUAUUUAUUAUACUUUAAGUUCUGGGAUACAUGUACAGAACGUGCAGGUUUGUUACACAGGUAUACACGUGCCAUGGUGGUUUGCUGCACCCAUCAACCUGUCAUCUACAUUAGGUAUUUCUCCUAAUGUUAUACCUCCCCUAGCCCCCCACCCCCCAACAGGCCCCAGUGUGUGAUGUUCCCCUCCUGGUGUCCAUGUAUUCUCAUUGUUCAGCUCCCACCUAUGAG
rnacentral:lncRNA from 10 species